GACGAACCGUGCGAACGUUGUUCGGAUUCACUGGGCUUAAAGGGCGCGUAGGCGGGCUCGCAAGUCAGGGGUGAAAUCCUCCGGCUCAACCGGAGAACAGCCUUUGAUACUGCGAGCCUCGAGGAAGGUAGGGGCAUGUGGAACUUCCGGUGGAGCGGUGAAAUGCGUAGAUAUCGGAAGGAACGCCGGUGGCGAAAGCGACGUGCUGGACCUUUUCUGACGCUGAGGCGCGAAAGCCAGGGGAGCAAACGGG
rnacentral:rRNA from 1 species